AAGUCGUAACAAGGUUUCCGUAGGUGAACCUGCGGAAGGAUCAUUAGUGAAUAAACAAGUGCAGGUUGUGCUGGCCUUCUUGGGUAUGUGCACGCCUGCCAGCUUCAUUCCAUCUUCCCACUUGUGCACUCUGUGUAGAUUCUGUAUGCUAUUGUCAAGCCUUUAUUGUGCUUGGUUGAGAGGAGUUGCUUGUUUCACCAACAAGCUCUUCUUGGGCAUGCAGGUCUAUGUUUAUAUCAACACCAUAUGAAUGUUUUAGAAUGUGCUUUAGGCUUUUUGGCCUUUAAAUUAUAUACAACUUUCAACAACGGAUCUCUUGGCUCUC
rnacentral:misc_RNA from 1 species